rnacentral:misc_RNA from 1 species
GAUGAAGAACGCAGCGAAAUGCGAUACUUGGUGUGAAUUGCAGAAUCCCGUGAACCAUCGAGUCUUUGAACGCAAGUUGCGCCCGAAGCCAUUAGGCCGAGGGCACGCCUGCCUGGGCGUCACACGUCGUUGCCCCCCCCAUCUACUCCUUCGGGAUUGCGGGGGGCGGAUGAUGGCCUCCCGUGCGCCUCGCCGCGCGGUUGGCAUAAAUGCCAAGUCCUCGGCGACGCACGCCACGACAAUCGGUGGUUGCGAAACCUCGGUUGCCCGUCGUGUGCGGUCGUCGCGCAUCGAGGGCUCGAAAAAAUUGCCGAGUUCCGGCUCGGCUUUCAACGCGACCCCAGGUCAGGCGGGGUUACCCGCUGAAUUUAAGCAUAUCAAUAAGCGGAGG